AGACAAUUAUUGUUUGUUUCUCUGUUACAUUUUAAUAUAUUCUUUUUUGAAGACAUUUUCAAUGACAAUUGGAAUCCAAACUUAAAAUAAGGUUCAACUACAUGCCAUGCAAACAAGGCUUAUUUCCCAGCUUAGGUGAGACUCAAAUGAAUCUGUAACCUUCUACACACAUGCUAAUUUGCACAUGUGCAGACAUUGACAUCUAUGUCACAACACAUUUCUCUGCCAAGUAUCUUUGGCAAAGACUAUAAAUUACAUACGAAUUUGAGAUAUGUUAAAAUGUGAAAAGCUCUGCAUCUUAGACUUGAUGAAAUACAGUAAUAAAUAACACUUAUCAAUUGUGUGUAAUAUGUUAGAUACCUCGCCUAUAUUAUUCACUUAUUUUCAUAAUUACCCUAUAAAACAGUACUGUUACUGUCUCAAUUUUACAGAUGAAGAAAACCGAGUCUAGGGGAGUUUAAGUCAUUAGUCUGAGGAAAAGGCAGAAUUGAACCAAAGCUUGAACUUGAAGCAUAUACGAUCUUCCUACUUAUCUCUUGGUUGCUUAAACACUUUGCUAAGAAGAGAGCAUUGUAAGAAGAAAUUAAAAAAUUGCAGCACCGGAAGCUCAAGUCAAUUCUAUUGGAAGCUGGUCUUUUUUUUUUCCAGAAGGUUCUGGAUGGAACAGACUGGACUCUUUCAAUAAGGGUUUUAAUAUGCAAUUUAAUUUACAAUAGAAUGUCCUAUAUGACUAGAAAAUGAAAGAGAAUUAAAUGCUAGAGAUAUUUCUUAGGACUUUUGGGUGUCAAACACUGAAAUUAGGUGUUCCAGGAGCUUGGGAAUCAGAGCCUCUAGAAGUGGG
rnacentral:lncRNA from 1 species